CCUACGGGAGACAGCAGUGGGGGAUAUUGCACAAUGGGGGGAACCCUGAUGCAGCGACGCCGCGUGGGUGAAGAAGCGCCUCGGCGCGUAAAGCCCUGUCAGCAGGGAAGAAAAUGACGGUACCUGAAGAAGAAGCUCCGGCUAACUACGUGCCAGCAGCCGCGGUAAUACGUAGGGGGCAAGCGUUAUCCGGAUUUACUGGGUGGAAAGGGGGCGCAGACGGCGAUGCAAGCCAGGAGUGAAAGCCCGGGGCCCAACCCCGGGACGGCUCUUGGAACUGCGUGGCUGGAGUGCAGGAGGGGCAGGCGGAAUUCCUGGUGUAGCGGUGAAAUGCGUAGAUAUCAGGAGGAACACCAGUGGCGAAGGCGGCCUGCUGGACUGCAACUGACGUUGAGGCGCGAAAGCGUGGGGAGCAAACAGGAUUAGAUACCCCAGUAGUC
rnacentral:rRNA from 1 species